rnacentral:rRNA from 1 species
ACACAUGCAAGUCGAGGGGCAGCAUGGUCUUAGCUUGCUAAGGCUGAUGGCGACCGGCGCACGGGUGAGUAACACGUAUCCAACCUGCCGUCUACUCUUGGCCAGCCUUCUGAAAGGAAGAUUAAUCCAGGAUGGGAUCAUGAGUUCACAUGUCCGCAUGAUUAAAGGUAUUUUCCGGUAGACGAUGGGGAUGCGUUCCAUUAGAUAGUAGGCGGGGUAACGGCUCACCUAGUCAACGAUGGAUAGGGGUUCUGAGAGGAAGGUCCCCCACAUUGGAACUGAGACACGGUCCAAACUCCUACGGGAGGCAGCAGUGAGGAAUAUUGGUCAAUGGGCGAUGGCCUGAACCAGCCAAGUAGCGUGAAGGAUGACUGCCCUAUGGGUUGUAAACUUCUUUUAUAAAGGAAUAAAGUCGGGUAUGCAUACCCGUUUGCAUGUACUUUAUGAAUAAGGAUCGGCUAACUCCGUGCCAGCAGCCGCGGUAAUACGGAGGAUCCGAGCGUUAUCCGGAUUUAUUGGGUUUAAAGGGAGCGUAGAUGGAUGUUUAAGUCAGUUGUGAAAGUUUGCGGCUCAACCGUAAAAUUGCAGUUGAUACUGGAUGUCUUGAGUGCAGUUGAGGCAGGCGGAAUUCGUGGUGUAGCGGUGAAAUGCUUA